rnacentral:rRNA from 1 species
CCUACGGGGUGCAGCAGUGGGGAAUAUUGGACAAUGGGCGAAAGCCUGAUCCAGCCAUGCCGCGUGUGUGAAGAAGGCCUUCGGGUUGUAAAGCACUUCAGUGGGGAAGAAAGCCUUGGGGCUAAUACCCUCGAGGAAGGACAUCACCCACAGAAGAAGCACCGGCUAACUCCGUGCCAGCAGCCGCGGUAAUACGGAGGGUGCGAGCGUUAAUCGGAAUUACUGGGCGUAAAGCGCGCGUAGGCGGUCUGAUAAGCCGGUUGUGAAAGCCCCGGGCUCAACCUGGGAACGGCAUCCGGAACUGUCAGGCUAGAGUGCAGGAGAGGAAGGUAGAAUUCCCGGUGUAGCGGUGAAAUGCGUAGAGAUCGGGAGGAAUACCAGUGGCGAAGGCGGCCUUCUGGACUGACACUGACGCUGAGGUGCGAAAGCGUGGGUAGCAAACAGGAUUAGAUACCCGAGUAGUC